UACGUAGGGGGCGAGCGUUGUCCGGAUUUAUUGGGCGUAAAGAGCGUGUAGGCGGCUAGAUAGGUCCGUUGUGAAAACUCGAGGCUCAACCUCGAGACGUCGAUGGAAACCAUCUAGCUAGAGUCCGGAAGAGGAGAGUGGAAUUCCUGGUGUAGCGGUGAAAUGCGCAGAUAUCAGGAAGAACACCCGUGGCGAAGGCGGCUCUCUGGUACGUGACUGACGCUGAGACGCGAAAGCGUGGGGAGCAAACAGG
rnacentral:rRNA from 1 species